rnacentral:rRNA from 1 species
GACGAACGCUGGCGGCGUGCUUAACACAUGCAAGUCGAACGGAAAGGCCCUGCUUUUGUGGGGUGCUCGAGUGGCGAACGGGUGAGUAACACGUGAGUAACCUGCCCUUGACUUUGGGAUAACUUCAGGAAACUGGGGCUAAUACCGGAUAGAAGCUCCUGCUGCAUGGUGGGGGUUGGAAAGUUUCGGCGGUUGGGGAUGGGCUCGCGGCUUAUCAGCUUGUUGGUGGGGUAGUGGCUUACCAAGGCUUUGACGGGUAGCCGGCCUGAGAGGGUGACCGGCCACAUUGGGACUGAGAUACGGCCCAGACUCCUACGGGAGGCAGCAGUGGGGAAUAUUGCACAAUGGGCGGAAGCCUGAUGCAGCAACGCCGCGUGCGGGAUGACGGCCUUCGGGUUGUAAACCGCUUUCGCCUGUGACGAAGCGUGAGUGACGGUAAUGGGUAAAGAAGCACCGGCUAACUACGUG